GUUUACGGCCAUACCAGCCUGAAAGCGCCCGAUCUCAUCAGAUCUCAGAAGCUAAGCAGGGUCGGGCCUGGUUAGUACUCGGAUGGGAGACUGCCUGGGAAUACCAGGUGCUGUAAGCU
rnacentral:rRNA from 1 species